CUGGGAGAACGGCAGUUUGUAGGCUUGAUCCUGUUCAGAUUGAACGCUGGCGGGACGCUUUAUACAUGCAAGUCGAACGGCAGCACGUGACUUCCCGGUCUGGUGGCGAGUGGCGAACGGGUGAGUAAUGUAUCGGAACGUGCCUAGUAGCGGGGAUAACUGCUGCGAAAGCGUAGCUAAUAUCAAAGGCUGGCUGCUCCUUCGGGGAAAGCGGGGGAUCUCGCCCGCACUAUUAGAGCGGCCGAUAUCGGAUUAGCUAGUUGGUGGGGUAACGGCUCACCAAGGCGACGAUCCAGCUGGUUUGAGAGACGACCAGCCACAUCGGGACUGAGACGACGGCCCAGACUCUACGGGAGGCAGCAGUGGGGAAUUUUGACAAUGGGGAAUCCCUGAUCCAGCCAUCCCGCGUGGGCAGAUGAAGGCCUUCGGGCCAGGUGCCACCUUGGCAGGAGAACGCACGGAUAAUACCCGUGCAACUGACGGUACCUGGUACAGCUGGCACCGCCACCAACGCCAGCAGCCGCGGUAAUACGUAGGGUGCAAGUUGUUAAUCGGAACUAUUGGGCGCUGUGCGGCAGGCGGUUCGAAAGAAAGAUGUAAAUCCCAGAGCUUAACUUUGGAACUGCAUUUAACUACCGAGCUAGAGUGUGUCAGAGGGAGGUGGAAUUCGCGUGUAGCAGUGAAAUGCGUAGAUAUGCGGAGGAACAAUUUGAUGGCGAAGGCAGCCUCCUGGGAUAACACUGACGCUCAUGCACGAAAGCGUAGGAGCAAACAGGAUUAGAUGACCUCCUGGUAGUCCACGCCCUAAACGAUGUCAACUAGCUGCUGGGGCCUUCGGGCCUUUAGAAGCAGGAAAUAACUGCGAAGCUGACCGCCUGGGGAGUACGGCCGCAAGAUUAAAACUCAAGGAAUUGACGGGGACCGCAACAAGCAGGAUGCAUGGAUUAAUUCGAUGCAACGCGAAAACCUUACCUACCCUGACAUGUCUGGAAUCCCGAAGAGAUUUGGGAGUGCUCGCAAGAGAACCGGAACACAGGUGCUGCAUGGCUGUCGUCACCGUGUCGUGAGAUGCUGGGUUAAGUCCCGCAACGAGCGCAACCCUUUGGCUACGGUUGCUACGAAAGGGCACUGACGAGACUUCGGUGACAAACCGGAGGAAGGUGGGGAUGACGUCGAGUCCUCAUGGCCUCGGUGGUGAAGCCACACGCUUCAUGUUGGGCUGUCGGGACAGAGGGUCGCCAACCCUGCAGGAGCCAAUCCCGAAAAACCCGACUUAAUCCUGAACGGUGUCUGCAACCUCGAUUGCGUGAAGCUGGGAAUCGCUAGUAAUCGCGACCAGCAUGUCGCGGUAAUAUGUUCCCGGCCCUGUACACACCGCCCGUCACACCAUGGGAGUGGGUUUACCAGGUAUAGUUAGCCUAACCGUAAGAGUGGCGAUUACCACGGUGAGGAUUCAUGACUGGGGUGGGCGCCGUACAUGGCGUA
rnacentral:rRNA from 1 species